rnacentral:rRNA from 1 species
AUAUCAAUAAGCGGAGGAAAAGAAACCAACAGGGAUUGCCUCAGUAACGGCGAGUGAAGCGGCAAAAGCUCAAAUUUGAAAUCUAGCACCUUCGGUGUUUGAGUUGUAAUUUGAAGAUGGUAACCUUGGGUUUGGCUCUUGUCUAUGUUCCUUGGAACAGGACGUCAUAGAGGGUGAGAAUCCCGUCUGAUGAGAUGCCCAUUCCUAUGUAAGGUGCUAUCGAAGAGUCGAGUUGUUUGGGAAUGCAGCUCUAAGUGGGUGGUAAAUUCCAUCUAAAGCUAAAUAUUGGCGAGAGACCGAUAGCGAACAAGUACAGUGAUGGAAAGAUGAAAAGAACUUUGAAAAGAGAGUGAAAAAGUACGUGAAAUUGUUGAAAGGGAAGGGCAUUAGAUCAGACUUGGUGUUUUACGAUUAUCUUCUCUUCUUGAGUUGUGCACUCGUAUUUCACUGGGCCAGCAUCGAUUCGGAUGGCAAGAUAAUGGCAGUUGAAUGUGGCUUCACUUCGGUGGAGUGUUAUAGCUUCUGCUGAUAUUGCCUGUCUGGAUCGAGGGCUGCGUCUUUUGACUAGGAUGCUGGC